rnacentral:lncRNA from 1 species
UCUUGAGGCACCGGACCCUAGAACAUGGCUAAGUAAUCCUACAAAGUAGCCUCGAUGGGCUGGAAUUCAUCAGUGAGUAGACCCAAUUUGCAACAUAGAUUAUGCUGCGCUCUUUGAAUCGCCGGCAUAGGCCUACGAUUGGAUAGUCUUGCAUUGCGGCGUACCGUCGACAUGUCGAAAACGCGUCUUGGGCCGCAGGAUUUCGACGCCUUGUCUUGCUGCUGCUGGGUCUGGUCCUCCAAGCGUGACUCCGUUGGCAAGGGCUGAAGCAGCUGUGCCAACCUGGUGAAGAAGGCACUAGCUGCAGAAGUUGCCAUGGGUGUGCUGUUGACAUUCCUGGCGCUUGUUUCCGCUCCACUAGUGGUCUGCACCUGCUCAACAUGGGGAGGGUUAGGGGGCAAGGAUCCCUGUCAAACAGAGAUGUCAGCGGUAGAUCCUGGCUGAGGCUUUGUAGGUGCACCUGAAGGUUGUGCAGCACUGCCUCAACAGCCUAGAC